rnacentral:rRNA from 1 species
GUGAGGAAUAUUGGUCAAUGGACGCGAGUCUGAACCAGCCAAGUAGCGUGAAGGAUGACUGCCCUAUGGGUUGUAAACUUCUUUUAUAAGGGAAUAAAGUGAGGGACGUGUCCCUUUUUGUAUGUACCUUAUGAAUAAGGAUCGGCUAACUCCGUGCCAGCAGCCGCGGUAAUACGGAGGAUCCAAGCGUUAUCCGGAUUUAUUGGGUUUAAAGGGAGCGUAGGUUGACAUAUAAGUCAGCUGUGAAAGUUUACGGCUCAACCGUGAAAUUGCAGUUGAUACUGUAUGUCUUGAGUGUACAAGAGGUGGGCGGAAUUCGUGGUGUAGCGGUGAAAUGCUUAGAUAUCACGAAGAACUCCAAUUGCGAAGGCAGCUCACUGGGGUACAACUGACACUGAGGCUCGAAAGUGUGGGUAUCAAACAGGAUUAGAAACCCCAGUAGUCC